UACGUAGGUGGCAAGCGUUGUCCGGAAUUAUUGGGCGUAAAGCGCGCGCAGGUGGUUUCUUAAGUCUGAUGUGAAAGCCCACGGCUCAACCGUGGAGGGUCAUUGGAAACUGGGAAACUUGAGUGCAGAAGAGGAAAGUGGAAUUCCAAGUGUAGCGGUGAAAUGCGUAGAGAUUUGGAGGAACACCAGUGGCGAAGGCGACUUUCUGGUCUGUAACUGACACUGAGGCGCGAAAGCGUGGGGAGCGAACAGG
rnacentral:rRNA from 1 species